rnacentral:rRNA from 1 species
GACAGAGGGUGCAAACGUUGUUCGGAAUUACUGGGCGUAAAGCGUGUGUAGGCGGUCUCAUAAGUCGGAUGUGAAAGCCCCGGGCUCAACCCGGGAAGUGCACUCGAAACUGCGAGGCUAGAGUAUCGGAGAGGUUGGUGGAAUUCUCGGUGUAGAGGUGAAAUUCGUAGAUAUCGAGAGGAACACCGGUGGCGAAGGCGGCCAACUGGACGAAUACUGACGCUGAGACACGAAAGCGUGGGGAGCAAACAGG